rnacentral:rRNA from 1 species
CCUACGGGUGGCAGCAGUGAGGAAUAUUGGUCAAUGGACGCGAGCCUGAACCAGCCAAGUAGCGUGAAGGAAGAAUGCACUAUGGGUUGUAAACUUCUUUUAGAUGGGAAUAAAAUGUGCCACGAGUGGGCGUAUGAGUGUACCUUAAGAAUAAGCAUCGGCUAACUCCGUGCCAGCAGCCGCGGUAAUACGGAGGAUGCGAGCGUUAUCCGGAUUUCUUGGGUUUAAAGGGAGCGCAGGCGGAUGGUCAAGUCAGUAGUGAAAGUGUGGGGCUCAACCGUAGGCUUGCAGUUGAAACUGGCGUGCUAGAGUUGGGGAGAGGUGUGCGGAAGUCGUGGUGUAGCGGUGAAAUGCGUAGAUAUCACGAAGAACACCGAUUGCGAAGGCAGCUCACUGGACUGCAACUGACGCGGAGGCUCGAAAGUGUGGGUAUCAAACAGGAUUAGAUACCCCUGUAGUC